AUGCUAAAGAACUGGAUUCUGAGAACUCUGGAAUCCCUGAGGACAGCAGGAUGGAGAAUUCUUAUUAUGGGAUGGAGGGAAAUUAUUGCUAAGGGAACCCCAGUAAGAGUCAUCACACCCACAUUUCUGUCCACUACAUCCUUUCUGAGAUUCAAGUUAGAAGAUAACUCCUGGCUUUCCUGGGAGAAUGAGAAGGAACUCUCAACUGUUGGCAACAGCUCCAGCGCCAGAAGCGCAAAGAAGUAGCCAGUUUCUGAAACAGGCAGCAAUUGUAAAAACUCCUGUUUCAAGAGGGCAAAUCUGAUUUCUUGCUCCAGAGAAGAAGCAAGCAGCCAAGCUUGGCACUGUAGACGUGAAGAAAGCAGUGUCUUCUCACUGCGUCCAGGAAGGAGUCACAGGUGUCAGUCCCCUGGAAUCAACAGUCUAGCUGUUUGUCAUGAGAAUCAACAACAGAAAAGUAUCGAAUUUCAAUAAGAAAAUUGGAAUGGAUGGACCAGAGAAUCUUGCCUUUCCAUGUAAAAAUCGCAGUACCAUAGGAAAAAACUCAGAAAUGACUGGAGGGGGACACUUUGAUGUGAAAUAAUCUUUAACAAGUAGGAUGGUGGGUGCUCAUUCUGUAAUAACGUUGUAAAGGAAGCAUAAGGAGGCCAGGUUGCUGCUAUCAGCAGGUGAGGCCAAUAACCAAGAUGUUAUACUUAGAUAUCCAUAAUCAGUCAAUUGAAUAAGCUGAACUUGGUAAGAUGUGAGCAAAAACCUACUGUGUUCUUUGGCAUCACUUUUCUUUGAAUUUCUCUCUUGAUUUAUUCCUCCUUGUCUGCAAUUAAAUCUCAGGAAGUUCUCAUAGUUUCAUAAACUUUGUUACUAAACAAAUAGCCUUUGCCCCAUAUUCAAAAAUCUAGUCCAGUGAAAUAUGAAAACCCCAAAUUUCAGACAAUUUAAAACCUUUCCCCGCCCCCAGUUCGGGUCAACCUUAGGUGGAGAAGCUGAGAUGGGAAGGGAGUUAGAGUUUCCUUUUCUCCCUUUCCCACCUUAUAUACCUUCUCCUCCACUCACCAGCUACUGUGUGAGACCCCUGCAGUGUUGAUAGGCUGUGAAGUUCUGAUCUGAAAAGCACUGUUUGAGUUUCACGUUGGAUAAGAUGGGUGUCCAAAAGCAACUCUUUCUUUCUUAUGGCAUCUUUGUAGACUCUUUAUAAAUUCCCCAGGUCACUGGAUCUCCUCAGCCACCGUUCCCUUGAUGACUUUCC
rnacentral:lncRNA from 1 species